GUGCUUCAGGAAGCACAUGUACUAAAAUUGGAACAAUACAGAGAAGAUUAGUGUGGCCUCUACAUGAGUAUGACAUGCAAAUUCAUGAAGCAUCCAUAUUUUAU